rnacentral:misc_RNA from 1 species
UGCCAAACCUCAUCAUGGAAUACCUACUUUCACUUUAUUCAAUUGUUGACCGUUAUACUCGUGAAAAUAUUUUACAAUGUUAAUCUACCCCUCAAAAUUUUAACUAUAAUAAUGCAGUAUUUAACAAGCAGUUACAUGUUUGAAUUCUUAUUCCUAACAUGUAUCCGGAAGUCACGUGUAGAAACACUUCCUCGGUGUGUAUAUAUAUAUGGAUAUAUAUGUAUAUGUAUGUAUUUGUUGUUUCCAUUUUAUCGCACUCACAUUUAAAAUGACAUUUGCAAUUGUAAUUCUAUCUAUGCCGUACUU